rnacentral:lncRNA from 1 species
GUUGCACUCACUUUUAAGGCUUAUUGGUACAAGUUCUUAAAGACUGAAAAGGAGUUCUCAGAAACAAAUCAAACCCAUUUUUAUUUGGGCUUCUCAUUUCUCCUUGGGGUCAGACACUUAACAAGCUGUUCAUAAUAUGUCAUGCUGGGCCUAAUGUUCAGCCCUUAGAAGAAAAGGCCAUAUCAGCUGAGACAAGUGAACAGCAGACAGAGUUAGGAAUUAGGAAGCUUGGGCUCUAACCUGUUUCUGUCACUGAAGGUUUGCAGGGCCCACGUAUGAGUCAUGUCUCUGCUCUGCAUCCUAUCUGCUCACUAGGCAUAACAGAACUGACCUUCCUCCCAGCCCUGUCGUGAGGAUGAAAUCCUGUGUGGAGCACUUUGAAAUCUUUGGAUGAAAAGCACGACAGAAGUGCCAAGUAUGAUUGUUACCCGUGCCAGCCACACUAGAAGACAGCAUAAAAAUAGGAAGCAAAGAAAAUUUCAUUUUACAAAAGCUUCAGUGAGAAAAUUGGCUGGUCAGAAUGUCAUUCCCUAGUUUUGGUUCACAUACACGUUGUCUUUUAUAAAAUUAAAGGAAAAAAAUAAUUGUACACAUUUUUGUCUUUGCCGGGAAGAAGCCCUUUGAUCAUCACCAUCCCUGCGACGCCAGGUGAGUCCCUGAUGCAGAAGGAAGAUCGAUACAUGAGGAGACCGUGUGGAAUCAGUUAUUUGUAGUUGCUCCCCAAUUUCUGUUUUUCAUUGCAAGGAAUCGAAGCCAUAAAGUCUGAGGGGGUGUUACAGGUUGAGGAUUAGGGAGUGUCUAAACCUUGACAUCGUCACAACAUAGGAUCCGAGAUACCUCCAGCUAAAACAGAGACUGUGCUUUCAGAACUGGCCCUGCACGCAGCCUCUACUCCAGUGCUCUCAGGUCCUGUCCUUAAUAGGAGAACAUGAGAGCUGCAGAUUUAAAAACCCAAGAGGGAACCUUUGCAACAACCUUUGUUAUAUUAGGAAUCCCAAAAUAAGGUGAGUCAUGCCCGUUAGUGUGCACCUUCAUCCUAAAAAUGACUUAGCUGUAGUUUUAAUAGCUUAUGUCCAUCUUGGUAUAAUGCUGUAAGUGAGUUGUGAUGAGCUGUAAUCACCUUUGCUUAUAAAUUUGGUAGACUGUGGAAACAGUUCCAAACCACAGAAGAGACAUUUCAAACUCUGAGCUUGCUGCCUGAUAUGACACACAGAGAAUUUAGAAUAGGAGUUUUGGAUGCUGUUGCCACGUCUUUACAGCCUGUCUUUUAUACUGGAGUUUUAAAAAGUCAAAACCCUACAGGGUGGUUUGGUUGCUGCAUCCCACUGAGAAGUUGAGAAAGUAAAAGGUAAGGGGGUGUAGCCAUGGGCUUGUCAGGGGGACGUGAGUGACACUAGUCCACCCACAGCAACUGUUCCAUGAAGUUAUGAAUCAUAUUGUACUCGACUUGUAAUUUCCACCCAGGAAGGGAAAGCUACUGAGCACUAUUGAAAUGUUUUGUUCAGAAGUUUCUCAGAGGGAGGGUCUUCAUAGUGUUUUAUGGAAUAAUUUGCAUUCUAAUCGGCAUAAUUGAAUUAUUGCCAUAGAAUUUGCAUGGUAUGGCUCCAGUAGAAAUACUUUCCAUUAAGAAAUAAAUACUCCUUAGAGAGGAAAAAAUGUCCAUCCACUGUAGUAUCCAGUCACAUGACAAUCUCUAUUUAUUCCUCUUCAUAACCCCAUGAGAAGGGUCAUCCUCACUGGAGUUUCAAUUUCUUAACCGAAGAAAUUAGUUGAAAAGUGGAAAUCCAACCUGCUGAUAGUUUCUUUAUCUGUCCACACCUAAUAAUGAGUUUGACUGAUUCUUCUAUUUAAAUUGACAGAUUAUUUACACCUCUGUGAAUUACAAUGUUGCUAUGGUCUUUCUUUCCUUUGCAUUUGUGUGUGUGUGUGUGUGUGUGUGUGUGUGGUUAGAACGUCUAUAGUCAGGCUAAAAUUCAGAUCCCAUCUUUAUAAUUCUUGUUUGUGUAAUAUGAAUUUAUCACAAUGGCAGGAGAGUGAAUUAUCAUACAGCCUUGAA